UACGUAGGCAGCAAGCGUUGUUCGGAAUUACUGGGCGUAAAGAGUGUGUAGGCGGUGCUCCAAGUCUGGUGUGAAAUCUCCCGGCUUAACUGGGAGGGUGCAUUAGAAACUGGAAUGCUAGAGGAUGGGAGAGGUAAGCGGAAUUCCUGGUGUAACGGUGAAAUGCGUAGAUAUCAGGAGGAACACCUGUGGUGUAGACAGCUUACUGGACCAUUUCUGACGCUGAGACACGAAAGCGUGGGUAGCAAACAGG
rnacentral:rRNA from 1 species